GACAGAGGAUGCAAGCGUUAUCCGGAAUGAUUGGGCGUAAAGCGUCUGUAGGUGGCUUUUCAAGUCCGCCGUCAAAUCCCAGGGCUCAACCCUGGACAGGCGGUGGAAACUACCAAGCUGGAGUACGGUAGGGGCAGAGGGAAUUUCCGGUGGAGCGGUGAAAUGCAUUGAGAUCGGACGGAACACCGACGGCGAAAGCAGGGUCCUGGACUCGUACUGACGCUGAGGCGCGAAAGCCAGGGGAGCGAACGGG
rnacentral:rRNA from 1 species